GGGUUGUGAGGUUAAGCGACUAAGCGUACACGGUGGAUGCCCUGGCAGUCAGAGGCGAUGAAGGACGUGCUAAUCUGCGAUAAGCGUCGGUAAGGUGAUAUGAACCGUUAUAACCGGCGAUUUCCGAAUGGGGAAACCCAGUGUGUUUCGACACACUAUCAUUAACUGAAUCCAUAGGUUAAUGAGGCGAACCGGGGGAACUGAAACAUCUAAGUACCCCGAGGAAAAGAAAUCAACCGAGAUUCCCCCAGUAGCGGCGAGCGAACGGGGAGCAGCCCAGAGCCUGAAUCAGUGUGUGUGUUAGUGGAAGCGUCUGGAAAGGCGCGCGAUACAGGGUGACAGCCCCGUACACAAAAAUGCACAUGCUGUGAGCUCGAUGAGUAGGGCGGGACACGUGGUAUCCUGUCUGAAUAUGGGGGGACCAUCCUCCAAGGCUAAAUACUCCUGACUGACCGAUAGUGAACCAGUACCGUGAGGGAAAGGCGAAAAGAACCCCGGCGAGGGGAGUGAAAAAGAACCUGAAACCGUGUACGUACAAGCAGUGGGAGCACGCUUAGGCGUGUGACUGCGUACCUUUUGUAUAAUGGGUCAGCGACUUAUAUUCUGUAGCAAGGUUAACCGAAUAGGGGAGCCGAAGGGAAACCGAGUCUUAACUGGGCGUUAAGUUGCAGGGUAUAGACCCGAAACCCGGUGAUCUAGCCAUGGGCAGGUUGAAGGUUGGGUAACACUAACUGGAGGACCGAACCGACUAAUGUUGAAAAAUUAGCGGAUGACUUGUGGCUGGGGGUGAAAGGCCAAUCAAACCGGGAGAUAGCUGGUUCUCCCCGAAAGCUAUUUAGGUAGCGCCUCGUGAAUUCAUCUCCGGGGGUAGAGCACUGUUUCGGCAAGGGGGUCAUCCCGACUUACCAACCCGAUGCAAACUGCGAAUACCGGAGAAUGUUAUCACGGGAGACACACGGCGGGUGCUAACGUCCGUCGUGAAGAGGGAAACAACCCAGACCGCCAGCUAAGGUCCCAAAGUCAUGGUUAAGUGGGAAACGAUGUGGGAAGGCCCAGACAGCCAGGAUGUUGGCUUAGAAGCAGCCAUCAUUUAAAGAAAGCGUAAUAGCUCACUGGUCGAGUCGGCCUGCGCGGAAGAUGUAACGGGGCUAAACCAUGCACCGAAGCUGCGGCAGCGACACUAUGUGUUGUUGGGUAGGGGAGCGUUCUGUAAGCCUGUGAAGGUGUGCUGUGAGGCAUGCUGGAGGUAUCAGAAGUGCGAAUGCUGACAUAAGUAACGAUAAAGCGGGUGAAAAGCCCGCUCGCCGGAAGACCAAGGGUUCCUGUCCAACGUUAAUCGGGGCAGGGUGAGUCGACCCCUAAGGCGAGGCCGAAAGGCGUAGUCGAUGGGAAACAGGUUAAUAUUCCUGUACUUGGUGUUACUGCGAAGGGGGGACGGAGAAGGCUAUGUUGGCCGGGCGACGGUUGUCCCGGUUUAAGCGUGUAGGCUGGUUUUCCAGGCAAAUCCGGAAAAUCAAGGCUGAGGCGUGAUGACGAGGCACUACGGUGCUGAAGCAACAAAUGCCCUGCUUCCAGGAAAAGCCUCUAAGCAUCAGGUAACAUCAAAUCGUACCCCAAACCGACACAGGUGGUCAGGUAGAGAAUACCAAGGCGCUUGAGAGAACUCGGGUGAAGGAACUAGGCAAAAUGGUGCCGUAACUUCGGGAGAAGGCACGCUGAUAUGUAGGUGAAGUCCCUCGCGGAUGGAGCUGAAAUCAGUCGAAGAUACCAGCUGGCUGCAACUGUUUAUUAAAAACACAGCACUGUGCAAACACGAAAGUGGACGUAUACGGUGUGACGCCUGCCCGGUGCCGGAAGGUUAAUUGAUGGGGUUAGCCGCAAGGCGAAGCUCUUGAUCGAAGCCCCGGUAAACGGCGGCCGUAACUAUAACGGUCCUAAGGUAGCGAAAUUCCUUGUCGGGUAAGUUCCGACCUGCACGAAUGGCGUAAUGAUGGCCAGGCUGUCUCCACCCGAGACUCAGUGAAAUUGAACUCGCUGUGAAGAUGCAGUGUACCCGCGGCAAGACGGAAAGACCCCGUGAACCUUUACUAUAGCUUGACACUGAACAUUGAGCCUUGAUGUGUAGGAUAGGUGGGAGGCUUAGAAGUGUGGACGCCAGUCUGCAUGGAGCCGACCUUGAAAUACCACCCUUUAAUGUUUGAUGUUCUAACGUUGACCCGUAAUCCGGGUUGCGGACAGUGUCUGGUGGGUAGUUUGACUGGGGCGGUCUCCUCCUAAAGAGUAACGGAGGAGCACGAAGGUUGGCUAAUCCUGGUCGGACAUCAGGAGGUUAGUGCAAUGGCAUAAGCCAGCUUGACUGCGAGCGUGACGGCGCGAGCAGGUGCGAAAGCAGGUCAUAGUGAUCCGGUGGUUCUGAAUGGAAGGGCCAUCGCUCAACGGAUAAAAGGUACUCCGGGGAUAACAGGCUGAUACCGCCCAAGAGUUCAUAUCGACGGCGGUGUUUGGCACCUCGAUGUCGGCUCAUCACAUCCUGGGGCUGAAGUAGGUCCCAAGGGUAUGGCUGUUCGCCAUUUAAAGUGGUACGCGAGCUGGGUUUAGAACGUCGUGAGACAGUUCGGUCCCUAUCUGCCGUGGGCGCUGGAGAACUGAGGGGGGCUGCUCCUAGUACGAGAGGACCGGAGUGGACGCAUCACUGGUGUUCGGGUUGUCAUGCCAAUGGCACUGCCCGGUAGCUAAAUGCGGAAGAGAUAAGUGCUGAAAGCAUCUAAGCACGAAACUUGCCCCGAGAUGAGUUCUCCCUGACUUUAGCGUGCU
rnacentral:rRNA from 1 species